rnacentral:rRNA from 1 species
GAUGAACGCUGGCGGCGUGCCUAAUACAUGCAAGUCGAGCGAACAGAUGAGGAGCUUGCUCCUCUGACGUUAGCGGCGGACGGGUGAGUAACACGUGGAUAACCUACCUAUAAGACUGGGAUAACUUCGGGAAACCGGAGCUAAUACCGGAUAAUAUAUUGAACCGCAUGGUUCAAUAGUGAAAGACGGUUUUGCUGUCACUUAUAGAUGGAUCCGCGCCGCAUUAGCUAGUUGGUAAGGUAACGGCUUACCAAGGCAACGAUGCGUAGCCGACCUGAGAGGGUGAACGGCAACCCGGGAACGGAGACACGGCCCAGACUCCUACGGGAGGCAGCAGUAGGGAAUCUUCCGCAAUGGACGAGAGCCUGACGGUGCAACGCCGCGUGAGUGAUGAAGGUCUUAGGAUCGUAAAACUCUGUUAUUAGGGAAGAACAAAUGUGUAAGUAACUAUGAACGUCUUGACGGUACCUAAUCAGAAAGCCACGGCUAACUACGUG